rnacentral:tRNA from 1 species
GCGGGCAUCGUAUAAUGGCUAUUACCUCAGCCUUCCAAGCUGAUGAUGCGGGUUCGAUUCCCGCUGCACGCUCCA